CUUGUUUCGUUCCACUUUAAAUUGUUUUUAUUUAAUAGGCCGUCGAAUCCCUAGUCCAACCGACAUGUGCUUUCGGACACUGGCAAAACACGUUGGUUUUACAUCUAUCAAUAUAUAUUUGCAAGUCUAUUAUAAAUUGUAGUUUUCGUUUUUUGUUUCGUGCCACUUAGUUUUCCUUUAAUAGGCCGUCGAAUCCCUAGUCUAACAGACAUGUGCUUUCGGUGUGGUAAAAGAAGCCACUGGAGCUCAAGCUGCCCAAAAAUUUUGCCUCGACACGACUCAGUCAGUUUGAACCGGGAUAUUUUCCAAGAUCCACAGCCCCGAGCAGCUCAGUUGAGAGAGUAAACGUUAGCCGAUAAUCCAUUGCAAGAUGUUUAUGAAGACAUAACUCAGG